rnacentral:rRNA from 1 species
UACGAAGGGGGCUAGCGUUGCUCGGAAUCACUGGGCGUAAAGCGCACGUAGGCGGAUUGUUAAGUCAGGGGUGAAAUCCUGGAGCUCAACUCCAGAACUGCCUUUGAUACUGGCGAUCUCGAGUCCGGGAGAGGGAUGCAGAAUUCCAGGUGUAGCGGUGAAAUGCGUAGAUAUCAGGAAGAACACCUAUGGCGAAGGCAGCUCUCUGGGACGGUACUGACGCUGAGACGCGAAAGCGUGGGGAGCGAACAGG